rnacentral:rRNA from 1 species
UACGUAGGGGGCAAGCGUUGUCUGGAUUUAUUGGGCGUAAAGAGCGUGUAGGCGGCUAGGUAGGUCCGUUGUGAAAACUCGAGGCUCAACCUCGAGCUGUCGAUGGAAACCAUCUGGCUAGAGUCCGGAAGAGGAGAGUGGAAUUCCUGGUGUAGCGGUGAAAUGCGCAGAUAUCAGGAAGAACACCCGUGGCGAAAGCGGCUCUCUGGAACGGUACUGACGCUGAGACGCGAAAGCGUGGGGAGCGAACAGG